rnacentral:tRNA from 1 species
GGGCCUGUAGCUCAGUCCGGCAGAGCAGGAGACUCAUAAUCUCUUGGUCCAAGGUUCAAAUCCUUGCGGGCCCACCA